rnacentral:rRNA from 1 species
CCUACGUGAGGCAGCAGUGGGGAAUAUUGCACAAUGGGGGAAACCCUGAUGCAGCGACUCCGCGUGAGUGAAGAAGUAUCUCGGUACGUAAAGCUCUAUCAGCGGGGAAGAAAAUGACGGUACUUGACUAAGAAGCCCCGGCUAAAUACGUGCCAGCAGCCGCGGUAAUACGUAGGGGGCAAGCGUUAUCCGGAUUUACUGGGUGUAAAGGGAGCGUAGACGGCAGAACAAGUCUGGAGUGAAAUCCCGGGACUUAACCCCGGAACUGCUUUGGAAACUGUGCGGCGAGAGUGCAGGAGGGGUAAGCGGAAUUCCUAGUGUAGCGGUGAAAUGCGUAGAUAUUAGGAGGAACACCGGUGGCGAAGGCGGCUUACUGGACUGUAACUGACGUUGAGGCUCGAAAGCGUGGGGAGCAAACAGGAUUAGAUACCCGAGUAGUC